GCCUGGGUGGCUCAGUCGGUUAAGCAUCUGACUUCCACUCAGGUCAUGAUCUCGUGGUCUGUGGGUUCGAGCCCCGCACUGGGCU
rnacentral:tRNA from 1 species